GACGUAGGGCGCGAGCGUUGUCCGGAAUUAUUGGGCGUAAAGAGCUCGUAGGCGGCCUGUCGCGUCGACUGUGAAAACCCGCAGCUUAACUGCGGGACUGCAGUCGAUACGGGCAGGCUAGAGUUCGGUAGGGGAGACUGGAAUUCCUGGUGUAGCGGUGAAAUGCGCAGAUAUCAGGAGGAACACCGGUGGCGAAGGCGGGUCUCUGGGCCGAUACUGACGCUGAGGAGCGAAAGCGUGGGGAGCGAACAGG
rnacentral:rRNA from 1 species